rnacentral:rRNA from 1 species
CAUCUGGCCUCAAAUCAGGUAGGACUACCCGCUGAACUUAAGCAUAUCAAUAAGCGGAGGAAAAGAAACUAACAAGGAUUCCCCUAGUAACGGCGAGUGAAGCGGGAAGAGCUCAAAUUUGAAAUCUGGUAGCCUUCGGUUGCCCGAGUUGUAAUCUAGAGAAGUGUUUUCCGUGCCGGCCCAUGUACAAGUCCCUUGGAACAGGGCGUCAUAGAGGGUGAGAAUCCCGUCCUUGACAUGGACCCCCGGUGCUUUGUGAUACACUUUCAACGAGUCGAGUUGUUUGGGAAUGCAGCUCAAAAUGGGUGGUGAAUUCCAUCUAAAGCUAAAUAUUGGCGAGAGACCGAUAGCGAACAAGUACCGUGAGGGAAAGAUGAAAAGCACUUUGGAAAGAGAGUUAAACAGUACGUGAAAUUGUUGAAAGGGAAACGAUUGAAGUCAGUCAUGCUCUUAGGAUUCAGCCGUUCUGCGGUGUAUUUCCUUUGAGUGGGGUCAACAUCAGUUUUGAUCGAUGGAUAAAGGCACGAGGAAGGUAGCACUCUCGGGUGAACUUAUAGCCUCGCGUCAUAUACAUUGAUUGGGACUGAGGAACGCAGCAUGCCUUUAUGGCCGGGAUUCGUCCACGUACAUGCUAGGA